GUCAGCCGCCGCGGUAAUACGGAGGGUGCAAGCGUUAUCCGGAUUUAUUGGGUUUAAAGGGUCCGUAGGCGGAUCUGUAAGUCAGUGGUGAAAUCUCAUAGCUUAACUAUGAAACUGCCAUUGAUACUGCAGGUCUUGAGUAAAGUAGAAGUGGCUGGAAUAAGUAGUGUAGCGGUGAAAUGCAUAGAUAUUACUUAGAACACCAAUUGCGAAGGCAGGUCACUAUGUUUUAACUGACGCUGAUGGACGAAAGCGUGGGGAGCGAACAGGAUUAGAUACCCUGGUAGUCCACGCCGUAAACGAUGCUAACUCGUUUUUGGGCUUUCGGGUUCAGAGACUAAGCGAAAGUGAUAAGUUAGCCACCUGGGGAGUACGUUCGCAAGAAUGAAACUUAAAUGAAUUGACGGG
rnacentral:rRNA from 1 species